GUCAAUAAAAUAAACAGACAUCUAAUUUUACAUCUAAUAGUCAAGAUUAAUCGUAAUAACCGUGUACCAAGGUUAAAAAGUCUCAUUAAAUAAAAAAAAAAAGGGUGUUAAUGUGAUUUGAGAUCAAAAUCAGACCUAGAUUACAUGGGUGCUUUACGAGUAUUGUAGCGUAAAGAAGGGGCCACUUGAGAGGAAUGGGGUCAAAGGGAGACAAAAAAAUUGAUGGGAUUUUCAUGCAUUAAGUAAGAGAGAGAGAUAGAAUAGUUUGUUGUUUCACCACCUUCAUCAUUCCUUGAGAGAGAGAAUUUUCGACCCUCAUCAUUUCUAGGGAGAGCCAAUCCUAUCAUUUCCUCAGGUGGACCCGCAUGGGACAACCAUAACACCUCGAUCGACGUGCAUUCCGUGUUCAACUCUUUGAAUCAACUCCACGACCCCUGCCACCCUCUCUCUCUUGCGUAGGAUGCAAUCUAUUGAAGCUCGAGGUCCUCAUCAUCAUGACGCUUCUCAAAGAAGCAUAGAAUGGAUUAAAAAACAUGACAGACACACGUCUCAGAGGUCAGGUUUCUCUCUAUGUAAUAAUUAUACUUGGGCAAAACAGUAGAAAAAUAUAUUUGCUCAUGAAUGUUCUUCUUCAUUUUUUGUGAUAAUCUCCACAAGCAUUUGAUGGUUGUUAACAUAAUUAAGUUUUCAAAGAAGAAAAUCAUGCAGCUUGCUUUUCUCAGGAGAGAAAGCCAUCACCUUUUUCUUUUCAUUUGCACAAAUUUUAGAGAGAGAUUGACAUUUUGUGCAGACAAAACUUGGGUUGAUAAUACCAAAUAGAUUAUUAAUCAAACUGACUCUUCUAUAAUGAAGCUAUGCAAUUUCUUUUGGGGAGAUAAGACCAUGGUUUCUUUCCAAAUUAAGAAAAUAUAUGUGCAGCUUGUACUGGAAUGUAGCUUUUCUUUUCCUUUUCCAUUUUUUUUUGAAAGGUAACACUCAUUGGAACUUACCAGCAACAAGUUCAAACCAGUCUAAAGGAAUUUUCACAGAGAGAGAGAGAGAGAGAGAGAGAGAGAGAGAGAGAGAGAGAGAG
rnacentral:lncRNA from 1 species